GACGAACGCUGGCGGCGUGCUUAACACAUGCAAGUCGAACGGUGAGGCCCUUCGGGGUACACGAGUGGCGAACGGGUGAGUAACACGUGGGUGAUCUGCCCUGCACUUCGGGAUAAGCCUGGGAAACUGGGUCUAAUACCGGAUAGGACCACUGCCUGCAUGGGUGGUGGUGGAAAGCUUUUGCGGUGUGGGAUGGGCCCGCGGCCUAUCAGCUUGUUGGUGGGGUGAUGGCCUACCAAGGCGACGACGGGUAACCGGCCUGCGAGGGUGACCUGCCUCCGUGGGACUGAGGUUCGGCCCACACUCCUACGGGAUGCAGCAGUGGGGAAUAUUGCACAAUGGGCGCAAGCCUGAUGCAGCGCCGCCGCGUGAGGGAUGACGGCCUUCGGGUUGUAAACCUCUUUCAGCACCGACGAAGCGCAAGUGACGGUAGGUGCAGAAGAAGGACCGGCCAACUACGUGCCAGCAGCCGCCGUAA
rnacentral:rRNA from 1 species